AUGCGUGAUCAGGUCGGCGUCGACCUGGACGGCUUCCCCCUCGACCACGAGUUCCCGGACGACUAUGGGCUAGAGGAAGAGGACGGGUGCGACAUCGAAGUGGAGCCUUUGUUCGAGGAGGAGCUCGCCAACCAAGCCGCCGGGCCGAAGCCGAAGCGCAAGAGCAAACGCACGAAGGCUUACACAGCUGCCGAAGACAAGCUUCUAUGCGAGUGUUGGCGAGACAUUGGGCAAGACCCAAAGACGGGCGCCGAGCAAAAGCAUUCAACCUUUUGGACUCGUGUGCACCGGGAGUUUCACCAUUUUUUACGUGCUGGCAUGUGUGCCGGCCGGCUGGCGAGCGAGUGCGCUAACAGGAAUUGUGGUAUUUUCUGA
rnacentral:rRNA from 1 species